GGGAGCCUCAGAGAGCAAGAUGGCAGCAAAAUCUGAUGGAGUGGGGGUCGCUACCGGUUUCGCCCAACUGCACAACCUGGACGAAACGGUGGGGAACGGCGAAGGGGAUCCGGGGGAGAGCAGCUCCAUCCACAUCUGUCACUGCUGCAACACCUCGUCAUGUUACUGGGGCUGCCGAAGCGCUUGCCUGCGCUCUCUCCUGGGGAAGGGGAAGGAAGCUAGGCGGCAGCCGCCGCAGGAGGAGCGCCUCUGGCUGGACUGCCUGUGGAUCGUCCUGGCGCUGUUGGUCUUCUUUUGGGACGUGGGCACGGACCUGUGGCUAGCGGUCGACUACUAUUCCAAGCGCGACUACCUUUGGUUUGGGCUCACCCUCUUCUUUGUGCUCGUCCCCUCGGUGCUGGUGCAGAUCCUGAGCUUCAGGUGGUUUGUCCAGGAUUACACCGGUGGAGGCUUGGGGGCGGUGGAGGGGCUCAGUAGUCGGAGAAUCCCGGCUGCAAUGGGCGCUGCUGUUCAUGGCAGGGACAGGUGCUGUAGGAUCUCGGUGUGGAUCUGGCAGUCUGUCAUACACAUCCUGCAGAUGGGACAAGUAUGGAGUGUCCCUGGAGUUCUGGCAGACUGAGCCUGAAGGAUCCCUUAGGAAGUUAUUGGCUGGUGGGAUGUUGAGAUAAAUUGACUUCUCUGACUCCGAGACACCGGAACCACAGAGACCAGCAGCCUUUAAUUCCCUCAAUGCACUGGGCAAAUAAUUUUCUAGUGCUUACAGUAUGGGGGUAGAUAAUUGCCUUAAAUGCACUACACUGUGAUCUGUGAAAAAUGAGCUAUCCAGGAAAUCAGACAGAUUUGCUUCCUACCAUUUACAAUGCAAACCGAGGAGAAACCAUAUGGACCAAGAAAUCACUGCCAAGAUAACGGAAAUAAGGAAUUGUCCCAGACAAUUCAUGGUGUAAAGGUAUUCUAGGUGUAAAAAAAAAAAAAAAAAAAAAAAAAAACCUUAGCUGUUGCAUGCUGACAUACAACUGGUGUGUUAGAGAAUGGGUCAGAGGUAUAAUUAUAAUGGAGGUGGUUUCUACAAAGCCCAACACAGUGGUGCAGACAGGUGAUACUUAUUACUAUAAAACCAAAAUGAAAGCUCAGUGUGUUACAGUUCAGCUUAACAAGUAUUUCUAUUUUGUGCACUCAAUACAAACUGUAUUAAAAUAAACAUUAUUUUUGGGUGGUCUUGUUUUGAAUUUCCCUGUGUUGUAGGAAUAAAGGCAGAAAAUGCAUGUUUUGAAAAUGUCCUGCUUCAUGUAGUGUGUACAUAUUCAAUAGUGGACCAACACACCCCUUGAGAAUGAUUAAAGAUAUCAUAAAAGUAAAGGGAAGACAUUUGAAGCUACUAAUCCUUUACCAAGAACAUUGUAAAUAUAUCCUGAUGGUAGUUGGUAUCAGCAAAAGUCUGACAAAUAGUCCGUGGUGGGAUAUUGAUCAGCUUAAAGAUCUACUUUAAGGGAAUAUCCAAACACUACACUUAAAAGAUCCAAACACUACACAUAAAAGAUCCAAACACUACACAUAAAAGGCUUUGUGAAAUACCUCCAUGAUGCUACCUUUUGUGCAUUUUUAUUCAUUUAUACUGUAGGUCUCACAUAUGCGGUUUUGAAAGAAGCAUGUUACAGCUACACGUUCUGGUGUAAAAUCAUAUUGAAAAGGUAUUAUGGGAUGAGUCAAAAAACUGUACAAACGUUUUAAUUUUAAUACUGCUCACUUAAACCAAGGGAUUCGGUUCUGUCACCUGACACAUUUAGACUCGUCAGUUGCCAGCAGCUUGUAGCUCGGACACAAUAUAAUUGGUCGUAGCCACUCUGACCCUGCAAGCUUCCGGUUAGAAUGAAUGUCAAGCUGUUGCCUUUUACUGAGACAUGCCACAGGCCUGGCACAGACAAAUGCAGAAAGGCAGGAGAAUGAGAAUUAAAAUAACAGCAACUGAGAAUUCAAGUCUAUGAUCUCGAAGAGUCACUCUUGCAGUACAGUGGGGAGGAGAUCUCUUACGCCAGUAGAGCAUCAUCAUUUGCAUAGAUCCAGCAUGUCUCCCUUGGCAGUCUGAUUGGAGGGCAGCACAUAGGAUUCAGAAAUCAUUUAUGUAAUUGUCAGGUGCUUUAGGUACCCUUCAAUUUUGGAGGUGAUAGGAUGAAAAGUCAUGGUGGGGUCAUACAUUUACUGUCAAUUCACUUAAAUUCACAAGCUGAAAAAUCUCACCUCAGUUUUUGGUGGCAAACUCAAAGCAACCAAUCCUAUGACACAGCCCCUUAUAAAGUUUAGUACACAGCAGUGUAAGUUCAGUGAAGCAGAUGUGUAUACUGUAUAGAACUGAGAUCUGUUUUGACUGUUGUGACUAAGGAUAGCGGCAGUUCAAAACAAUCAGGAAACUCAAGAGAUAGGUAUUGUUGGUUUUCUAAUUUGUUGAAAGUUUGCUGGUGUAAUUUUAAAAUAAGUUUUUAGUUUCCAACUUUGAUUUAACCCUUGCAAAUUCAACAAAGAGUAGCACCUACUCCCUGAUUUCCCCUUAUACUCUUCCACACUAGCUACCAGUGACUGUAUCUGACCACCAGGUAGCACUUUCCGACCUUCUGUCAUGCAAAUAACAAUAUGGUAAAUACCAUUAGAAGUAUACAGCAUGUGAAUAAAAAAAAAUUCAGUCUUCAAAGUCUUGAUUUCUAACCAACCAAAUGGACAUCAUUUCAUUUUAUAUAAUUUAAGAAUUCUGGUUCCAUUAAUGCAGCUGGGAUAAGCUACAUAAAUGAAUAAGGCUGUCAGGGUGGAGCAGUUUCCUUUUCUCAAUUCUCCCUUUGUUCUGGUGACCAUGUUCUGGUUCUUUUUGCCUACACUGGAAUUACGCCACAAGGUCUUUGUCUCUCCAGCGCUCUCCACCCUGUUCUAGUUAAUCCUCCCUCUUUGAUCUUUGUUACUUAUUUCUGCACAUGUGGGCUGCUUGCUAAGUCUCUGAUUGUAAGGGGGUAAGCAUUUGUAAGAGUGCAUUAAAGCAACAGAAAGAGCAAUCGGUGAUUUAAUUCUGUAACUGUCUGAUACUGAGUAGAGGAGGUGUUGAUUAUACAGUUGUGGAAAGGGGUUAACUCUCUGAACUGCCUGUUUGAAAAUGUUCUAUAAGAAACAGGCCUUAGAAACAUACAUUUGCUUUUAUUUACAAUCUUCUCAGAUUAAGCUGCAGGUUAAACAGAAGGCAAACUUGAUUAAACUCGGUUGCAAACACUCAGCAUUUAUUCAGCUGUGCUGUAGGAUUGUGGUACAGAAAAUAUUGUGUUGUCAAAUGUCUGUGGCUGAAUAUAACAUCUUUGUGAACAAGGUGCUCUCCUUGUCUUCAUACAUUUUAAUCAAUAAAAAAAUACAUUAAUUAAUAAAAUGUUCUA